rnacentral:rRNA from 1 species
CCUACGGGGGGCUGCAGUGGGGAAUAUUGGGCAAUGGGCGCAAGCCUGACCCAGCAACGCCGCGUGAAGGAAGAAGGCUUUCGGGUUGUAAACUUCUUUUCUCCGGGGCGAAGAAAGUGACGGUACCUGAUGAAUAAGCCACGCCUAACUACGUGCCAGCAGCCGCGGUAAUACGUAGGUGGCAAGCGUUAUCCGGAUUUACUGGGUGUAAAGGGCGUGUAGGCGGGAAAGCAAGUCAGAUGUGAAAACAAUGGGCUCAAACGGUGGCCUGCCUUUGACACUGUUUUUCUUGAGUACUGGAGAGGCAGACGGAAUGCGUGGUGUAGCGGUGAAAUGCGUAGAUAUGAGGAGGAACACCAGUGGCGAAGGCGGUCUGCUGGACAGCAACUGACGCGGAGGCGCGAAAGCGUGGGGAGCGAACAGGAUUAGAUACCCCGGUAGUC